rnacentral:rRNA from 1 species
AAGUCGUGAGGCGGAGCUAANCCCUUAAAGCCAUUCUCAGUCCGGAUUGUAGGCUGAAACUCGCCUACAUGAAGCUGGAGUUACUAGUAAUCGCAGAUCAGAAUGCUGCGGUGAAUGCGUUCCCGGGUCUUGUACACACCGCCCGUCACACCACGGAAGUUGGGGGCGCCCGAAGCCACUUAGCUAACCCAUUUGGGAAGCGAGUGUCGAAGGUGAAAUCAAUAACUGGGGUGAAGUCGUAACAAGGUAGC